CCGGCUUGUCUCAAUAUCUCUCUCGCUUUCAAAUUCACACAAUACCCGACAACUAUAGCUUGUUCUCUUUUCUCUCAGACUCAAAACAAAACCCUAUUCUCUGCAAUUCAUGUUCACUCUCACCUUGAUUCAUUUUGUUGCUAGCACUCAUUGUCCUGUAAUUCGUUCAUGAUUCUAUUCGAUUCAGGUUCGUAUUUGGGAACCGACAAAGCACUGUGAAAUAUAGAGAAAAACAUGAAUUCUAAUCAUACUCGGUGUGUUUGCGUGAAUCUCGUAUUCUCUGUCUUCUCGGUAACUUUGAUUUCUUAGGGUUUGGCCUUCACUUAACGUUUAGAGGCAAUUAACUGUGAUAGGAAGCUUAUUUUGGUUUCUCUGUAUUUUCUUAUUUGGGGUGAAGCUGCGAACAUCUGGUUUCUCCCUGAGUGUAUUUGCUAUAUAUUCCACCAUAUGGCAAAGAAACUGGGCGCUAUUUUGGAUCACGGAGAAGCUGAAGCUGCAGUCAGAUGAUGAUUGGUUCUGAAAAGUUCCUUGAGAAAAUCAUUUGUCCUCUAUAUGAAACGGUAGCUGCUGUGAGUUGCUUUAUUGAUCCCCAACACAAUGCAGUCAUAUAUUUUAAUUUCUGUUAUGCGUAUUCUUUUAAUUUGUUUCACAUUUGUUUGUUGGAAUGAGUGUGAUUUGAUUUGUUGCUGAAAACACACGAGUCACAUCAUUAUUCCCUUUUUGUGCAUGCUUCUGUUGAUGGGUAAAAUACCACACCCUGAAGGAACACCUAGCUAAGUGAGGGGCUAUUCAAAAUUUGGUUACUGGAUCCAGUGGCUGUGAAAAUCUUAGGGCCUGUUUACGAAAGGGGAGGGGGGGUGUUGCUUCUAGCCUAGGCUGAAUAAACCCAUUUAAAACACGGGCUAGCCUGUACGGGCCACAAGUAGCCCACAUAAACCAAAAUAAAGUCUAAAGAAAAACCAAAGUAAAUAAUCGUCCCUAGCCAGGCUGCUUUUUUGUUGCCUCGAUAUGUCCAAUAAAUGUUGGCUCGGUGACUUUUAAGUGCAAUUGAUAUUUUGAAAUGACUAUGGUUUCCUUGACGACGCUUAAGUCCAAUCUUGAGAUGGUUUAAUGUUGGCUCGAUGACUUUUAAGUGUGAUUGUUAUUGGUAAAUAAAUAUUAAAUUGGUUAUAUGCUACCUCGAUGACCGUUAAGGUCCAAUAAUUUAUGAGAUGGUUAAAUGUUGCCUCAAUAUGUUCAAUAAAGGUCGGCUCAAUGACCUUUAAGUGCCAUUGAUAUUUUGAUAUAGUUAUGGUUGCCUCGACGAUGCUUAAGUCAAAUUGCUAUUGGCUAUGUAAAUUAUCUUGAGAUGGUUAAAUGUUGCCUAGGUGACUUUUAAGUGCCAUUUUUAUCGGUAAAAUAAAUUGGGGAUGGUUAUGUGUUGCCUCAAUGAUCGUUAAAGUCCAACAAAUUCUAAGAUGGUUAAAUGGUUCCUCGAUAUGUCCAAUAAAUAUUGGGAUGGUUAAAUGUUGGUUCGAUGACCUUUAAGUGCAAUUGCUAUUUUGAUAUGGUUAUGGUGGUUGCCUCGACGACGCUCAAGUCCAAUUGGUAUUGCCUAUGUAAAUUAUCUUGAGAUGGUUUAAUGUUGGUUCGAUGACUUUUAUGUGCCAUUGUUAUUGGUAAAUAAAUAUUAGGAUGGUUAUAUGCUGCCUCGAUGACCGUUAAGGUCCAAUAAUUUAUGAGAUGGUUAAAUGUUGCCUCGAUAUGUUCAAUAAAUGUUGGCUCGAUGACCUUUAAGUGCCAUUGAUAGUUUGAUAUGGUUAUGGUUGCCUCAACGACGCUUAAGUCAAAUUGCUAUUGGCUAUGUAAAUUAUCUUGAGAUGGUUAAAUGUUGCCUCGGUGACUUUUAAGUCCCAUUGUUAUUGGUAAAAUAAAUUGAGGAUGAUUAUGUGUUGCCUCGAUGACCGUUAAAGUCCAACAAAUUCUAAGUUGGUUAUAUGAUUCCUCGAUAUGUCCAAUAAAUAUUAGGAUGGUUAAAUGUUGGUUCAAUGACCUUUAAGUGCAAUUGCUAUUUUGAUAUGGUUAUGGUUGCCUCAAUGACGCUUAAGUCCAAUUGCUAAUGGCUAUGUAAAUUAUCUGAAGAUAAUUAAAUGUUGUUUGACGGCGCUUCUUAGUUUAUCGUGGCUAAUUGUCAGUAUUUAUUUCUAAAAUACUAUUUACUUGAUGAUAAACAAUAUUACACACGAGUCCAGAAGGUACUUACUACAUU